rnacentral:lncRNA from 1 species
GUAGCCAUAGAAUGUGAUCUAUAUUUAGAAGAAAUAUUUAUUCAAAAUGAAAAAGAAAAAUGGAUAACAUAUUUGUUUCAGAAAAAAUCUGUUACUUUAAAAAAAUUAUAUAAAAAGAAAAAAAUAACUGAUGUUUAUUUUUUUCUCCUCACUUUGUUGAAUGUCCUGUCUAAUUUACCUUAUUCUAUUAUACCUAUUCAAAAAGUAAUAUUCACUUAUUUGUUUAUCUUAAUAGUAGUUUUUUUUUUUUUUUUUUUUUUUUUUUUUUUGUAUAUGUGUUGUUAUAUAAGUUUGUACACAUACAUACCUGUAAUUUUUUUUUUUUUUUUUUUUUUUUUUUUAGUUUAUAGAUAUUUGCGACAACUAUAUAGCCUAUGGUGUGAAGUUACUAACAAACAUCGAUUUAACAUUAUAUAAUAAAAAAAAAAAUUCAUAGAAUUUAUUUUGAACCAGUUUUUCAUCUGUUUAUAUCGUUAUGGAAUAGCCAUUAUUACCACAUUUCUCUGUCCAACACGCUAGAUAUUUUAACAUUUUUUCACAAAAUUUAUGUAAUACUAAACAGACUAGGAAUCCGAAAUGUCAGUUUAUUUGACAACAUAUACGUUCUAUGUGCUUCUUACGUGAACAAGAUUAACUCCAUGUUAUGGUUUAGCAUUUAUUUGAUUAUAAAAAGAAUGAUAAUAGAUGAAUGUGAAAUAAAAAUUAUAAAAAAAAAAAAAACAUAUUUAAUUUUACCGUUAUUUAUUGAUAUAAUAAAAAUUAUAAAAGUAUAUGACGAUAUAAUAAAACAAACUAACAUCAAACCAUUAAUAGAAUUAUAUAAAGAAUUAAAAUUAUUUUUAUUAUUUUUUUUCCAUGAGUUAUUAUUUAAUUUAAUAAAGCAAUAUGGAGACACACUGAAUAUUUUUAAAUAUUUACAAAUAAAUAAAACAAAUUUAACAAAUAAAAAACAAAAAUAUGGACAAAAUCAGGAACAAAAAAAUGGCCAAAAUCAGGGACAAAAAAAUGGCCAAAAUCAGGGACAAAAAAAUGGCCAAAAUCAGGGACAAAAAUAUGGCCAAAAUCAGGGACAAAAAUAUGGCCAAAAUCAGGGACAAAAAUAUGGACAAAAUCAGGGACAAAAAUAUGGACAAAAAGAGACCUUAUAUGUUUCGAAAAAAAAUAACACUCAUUCUAAUGGUGUACAAUAUAGUAAUAAAUCGAAAAAGUUUUUGACUAGUUUUUAUAAUUAUACAAAAAAUACAAUAAAUAAAGAUGUUUUUUUUGUUUCAUUAGUUGAUAACUUUUAUUUAUUUAACAAUGUAUUAACUAAUAAUAAUAAAAUGAGUAAAAACGACUUUUUUUCUAAUAUUUCAUUAUCAUCAGUUUCAAAUAAAUCAUCAAUUGUUAUUAAUAAAGAAAAAAAAACAGUGAAAAAUAAUGGAAUUAUAAAAAGUGACUAUUUAAGUAGCCAAUCUAUAAAUAGUGACCGUACUAUAAGUAACAACAGCAUAAAUAUAGAUUGGUCUAUUACAACUGAUUCUAUACAAAAUGACAAAAAUAAUAUGAACGGUAAUAAAAAUAAUAACUUUUUAACAAAAAAAAAACAAAAUAAUACUUCAAGGAUAAUUCAAAUGUUUACAAAUAAAAUUAUUAUUUUACAUCUUAAAUAUACUCAUUUUUUUAUUCACAAGUGUAAUAAUGAAAAUAAAUAUAUUUUGUUAAUAAAAAGUUACUUUAAUGAUUAUAUAUGUGCACUCAUAAACAGUUUAUACAUAUACUCUAAAAUUAUAUAUCCUACUGAAAUAUAUAAAAAAAAAAAGAAAAAAAAAAAUCAACAUAAAAAAAAUGGGCAUAAAAAUGGGCACAAAAAUGGGCACAAA